UAAAAUCUUAGUGGCGGACGGGUGAGUAACGCGUGGGUAACCUGCCUUACACUGGGGGAUAACACUUAGAAAUAGGUGCUAAUACCGCAUAAGCGCACGAAGCCGCAUGGAUUUGUGUGAAAAACUCCGGUGGUGUAAGAUGGACCCGCGUCUGAUUAGCUUGUUGGCGGGGUAACGGCCCACCAAGGCGACGAUCAGUAGCCGGCCUGAGAGGGUGGACGGCCACAUUGGGACUGAGGCACGGCCCAAACUCCUACGGAAGGCAGCAG
rnacentral:rRNA from 1 species